UCUCCUGGAAAACGGGUGGUAAUGCCGGAUGCUCCAGUUGAUCGCAUGGUCUUUUGGGAAAGCCUUUGCGGCAUGGGAUGGGGUCGCGUCCUAUCAGCUUGAUGGCGGGGUAACGGCCCACCAUGGCUUCGACGGGUAGCCGGCCUGAGAGGGCGACCGGCCACAUUGGGACUGAGAUACGGCCCAGACUCCUACGGGAGGCAGCAGUGGGGAAUAUUGCACAAUGGGCGCAAGCCUGAUGCAGCGACGCCGCGUGAGGGAUGGAGGCCUUCGGGUUGUAAACCUCUUUUGUUAGGGAGCAAGGCAUUUUGUGUUGAGUGUACCUUUCGAAUAAGCACCGGCUAACUACGUGCCAGCAGCCGCGGUAAUACGUAGGGUGCAAGCGUUAUCCGGAAUUAUUGGGCGUAAAGGGCUCGUAGGCGGUUCGUCGCGUCCGGUGUGAAAGUCCAUCGCUUAACGGUGGAUCCGCGCCGGGUACGGGCGGGCUUGAGUGCGGUAGGGGAGACUGGAAUUCCCGGUGUAACGGUGGAAUGUGUAGAUAUCGGGAAGAACACCA
rnacentral:rRNA from 1 species